GGACUACUAGGGUUUCUAAUUCCGUUCGCUCCCCUAGCUUUCGCGCCUCAGCGUCAGGUGCGGCCCAGCUGGCCGCCUUCGCCACUGGUGUUCUGCCUGAUCUCAACGCAUUUCACCGCUACUCCAGGCAUUCCGCCAGCCCCUACCGCCCUCUAGCUUCCUCGUUUGGACUGCACUCCCCCAGGUGAGCCGGGGGCUUUCACAACCCACGUAACAAGCCGCCUACGCGCUCUUUACGCCCAGUAAUUCCGGACAACGCUCGCAUCCUACGUAUUACCGCGGCUGCUGGCAC
rnacentral:rRNA from 1 species